GUCCACGCCCUAAACGAUGGGUACUAAGUGUCGGCGGGUUACCGCCGGUGCCGCACCUAACGGAGUAAGUACCCCGCCUGGGGAGUACGGCCGCAAGGUUGAAACUCAAAGGAAUUGACGGGGCCCGCACAAGCGGUGGUGCAUGUGGUUUAAUUCGACGCAACGCGAAAAACCUUACCCAGGCUUGACAUGCUAGUGGUAAGAACCGGAAACGGAGAUGACCCUGAAAGGGGAGCUAGCACAGGUGCUGCAUGGCUGUCGU
rnacentral:rRNA from 1 species